GAACCAAGUCGAAUUACCUUAGCAUGCUCUAGGAAGGAUAGGCCAAGUAAGAAUGGUGAAAUAGGAGUAGUUAGAUAGGUUUUGGUGAGAGGAAUAAUGGCUUGGAAGUACUUGGUAAUCUUGGUGAUAUGUGAGAAAACAAGUAUAUCACCUUUUGAAGUAUUGCUAAGGUGAAAGAGGCGAUUAAGAAAAAAUUUUGAAGUUAGGAUGCACUUACCGUGAAUCAUUGCAAAGAGAAAAAUGAAAUCCUUUUGGAGAACUUUCUCAACCCUAUUAUCUUUUGCAUAAAUAUUGGUGGCGACCAUCCUAUGAUCUACCCAAUGAGUGAGGGAUUUGAGAUCCUUCAAGAGAGAGUCUUUUGAGUGGGUCUCUUUGAUGGAGAUUUAUCUCCAAAAAUAGAAAAAAGAAAGAGGCAUUUCUACAAGGUUCUCACUGAUGAAGAGAUGGUCUUUUUCUUGGAAUUCAAAGAUGGAGGAAAAUUAAGGUCUUUUAAGGGUUCUUCUCUCCCCAAAAAUCCUAAAUUCUAUCCCGUGAUAUUCAUCCUCAUCUCCUUUUUUUAUUGAUAACUAAGAUGGAAAGAAAUUACUUAGUAAGGUUUUCAAAGUCAAGCUCUAGGGUAGGAGGGAGAAAGAAGUCUCUAAGUUCUAUGUUGUCAAGAAGAUCAUGUACCUCUUGAGAUGUUCCAAGUUUGAUUAGAGCUUCUUCAUCAAAGAACCGGCUAGGUUAGGUUUUCUUCCUCUUUAUUGUCAUGUAUUUGAUUCUUGCCUCAUCAUUCACCCUUUUCAUUCUUUCAAUGAAUGAUUCAAUGGAGGAGGAGCUUCUUCCAACAGCCUUUCUUGGACCCAUAAUUGUCUUGAUGAAUAGAAAAAGAAGAUUAGAGAAUUUGUGAAGAAAGAAAGAAGAGUUUUUGAGAGCUUUUUGAAAUAAUUGUUAGAAAAUGAUGCAAAUGAGUAAGAUGUGGCUUUUAUAGCCUUAAGGGGGUGUGAAAAUGGUAAAAACGACAAGUUUUCAUUAAAACCAAUUUUUCAAAAAUUCUAUAAUGGCUAGUUUUUAUUAAAAUCAAAGGGAAGCAUGGUCGCGCUUUUGAAAAAAUAGUCACAAAGGUUAUAAUUUGAAGAAACCGCGGUCGACACUUAGAAGUUGCGGGUGUGCUUUUAAGGUCAUUUCUAGAAUUGCCUGAGGACUUAUAAAGCGUGAGCGUGCUUUUCAAAAUACUAUACAAAAAUGAUGUUAUUAUGAAUGCAUGAGCAUGCUCCUUUUACUUUGAUCACACCAAUUUAUAUAUGAGUAUUGAGAUGCGCCAAGAUUAAAGAAUCUAGGACUAAGAUGAU
rnacentral:lncRNA from 1 species